GAACUUUCCAGAGAUGGAUUGUGCCUUCGGGAACUUAGAUACAGGUGCUGCAUGGCUNUCGUCAGCUCGUGUCGUGAGAUGUUGGUUAAGUCCCGCAACGAGCGCAACCCUUUUUCCUUAUUUGCCAGCGGGUCAUGCCGGGAACUUUAAGGAUACUGCCAGUGACAAACUGGAGGAAGGCGGGGACGACGUCAAGUCAUCAUGGCCCUUACGGCCAGGGCUACACACGUGCUACAAUGGUCGGUACAAAGGGUUGCUACCUCGCGAGAGGAUGCUAAUCUCAAAAAGCCGAUCGUAGUCCGGAUCGCAGUCUGCAACUCGACUGCGUGAAGUCGGAAUCGCUAGUAAUCGCGGAUCAGAAUGCCGCGGUGAAUACGUUCCCGGGCCUUGUACACACCGCCCGUCACACCAUGGGAGUUUGUUGCACCAGAAGUAGGUAGUCUAACCGCAAGGAGGACGCUUACCACGGUGUGGCCGAUGACUGGGGUGAAGUCGUAACAAGGUAGGCGUAGAUGA
rnacentral:rRNA from 1 species